AUUGAACGCUGGCGGCGUGCUUAACACAUGCAAGUCGAACGGUGACCUCGAGAGCUUGCUCUUGGGUGAACAGUGGCGAACGGGUGAGUAACACGUGAGUAACCUGCCCCUGACUCUGGAAUAAGCGCUGGAAACGGCGUCUAAUACCGGAUAUGACACACCCUCGCAUGGGGAGUGUGUGGAAAGUUUUUCGGUCUGGGAUGGACUCGCGGCCUAUCAGCUUGUUGGUGAGGUAAUGGCUCACCAAGGCGAUGACGGGUAGCCGGCCUGAGAGGGCGACCGGCCACACAGGGCCUGAGACACGGCCCAGACUCCUACGGGAGGCAGCAGUGGGGUAUAUUGCACACUGGGCGCAAGCCUGAUGCAGCGACGCCGCGUGAGGGAUGACGGCCUUCGGGUUGUAAACCUCUUUCAGCAGGGAAGAAGCGCAAGUGACGGUACCUGCAGAAGAAGCACCGGCUAACUACGUGCCAGCCGCCGCAGUAAGAC
rnacentral:rRNA from 1 species